AGACGAACCGGGCGAACGUUAUUCGGAAUCACUGGGCUUAAAGCGUGCGUAGGCGGCUUGGCAAGUUGGGUGUGAAAGCCCUCGGCUCAACCGAGGAACUGCGCCCAAAACUGCCAGGCUUGAGGGAGAUAGAGGUGAGUGGAACUAAUGGUGGAGCGGUGAAAUGCUUUGAUAUCAUUAGGAACACCGGUGGCGAAAGCGGCUCACUGGGUCUCUUCUGACGCUGAGGCACGAAAGCUAGGGGAGCGAACGGGAUUAGAAACCCCUGUAGUCC
rnacentral:rRNA from 1 species